rnacentral:tRNA from 1 species
UAAACAAAAGCUUAAGUUAACUAAACUAGGGGCCUUCAAAGCCCCAAACAAGGACACCCACCUCCUUAGCUUUUG